rnacentral:tRNA from 1 species
CGUUAAGAAGCUAUGCACUCAGCACUAGCCUUUUAAGCUAGAGAAAGAGGACAUUAUCCUCCUUAACGA